UAAUAAGUGUUUUAUGGCACUUUUUAAAUCCAUAUCCACCUUGUGUGCAACGUCAGUCGAUCUUCUUCAUGGAGAUCGACCAAACAUCAACCUUUAUCUUUUAACUCUUUGUCUGAAAAAUAUUAUGAAUAAACAAUUCAAAAUA
rnacentral:misc_RNA from 1 species